GCUUGGCUCGACUGGCGACGAAGGUCCUGGUAAGCUGGGAAAAGACACGGCCAGACGCACGCAGUCUAUGACCCGUGUAUAACCGAAUGGGAAAUCCCAAUAAUUCGAGAUGGGGCGAAGGUCACGUUUCGAAAGCGAACGCGGAGAAUUGAAACAUCUUAUUAACCGCAGGAAACAUUGAAGUGAGACAAAAAAAUCAUCUCACUUCGUGCCUGAUAAGAAAACAACAGUGAUGCCGUAAGUAAGGGCGACUGAAACCGGCAGAGAACAAACCGAACGCGCUCUGAGAGGAAGCGCGAAUGUGGGGUUCGGACCUGUGUCUCGCCUCGUCUGCUGAUCUGAAGUGUUCUGGAAAGAAUCGCAAUACAGGGUGAUAGCCCCGUAAGAGAAGGCAGAAAGGUGAAUGGCAGGUAUCCAGAGUAUGACAGGGCGAAUAUCCUGUCAGAAGGCGGCUCUCAUCUAGAGCCAAUUCUAAACACACGUCGAGUCCGAUAGAGUAUUAGUACGGUGACGGAAAGU
rnacentral:ncRNA from 1 species